rnacentral:snRNA from 1 species
GUGCUCGCUUCGGCAGCACAUAUACUAAAAUUGGAAAGAUAAAAUUGGCCCCUGCACAAGGAUGACAUGCAAAUUCAUGAAGCAUUCCAUAUUUUU